CCCGUCGUCUGAACGGACUUUUGACUGGAAGCAACUUCAGACAGGACGAGUAGUUUGAGCUCUGUAUAUUUAACAAUAAUAAUUGUUAUAGAUUCUAGUUUUUGAGAUUCAAAGACUGCAGUCCUUUACAAAAGGCUAUCCUUGCCAGUUUUUACUCUUUUAUUCCGAAGAAGACUAUUUCACUUUGCUCUCCAGAUAAGACGAAACGAAAGCUGCCAAGUCACUCAGCUGCAAUCGACAUUUUUUCCUGUACGGUUAUUUUUUGGACGGAGAUGUGUCAAGACGACAUGGAUACCAGAUCGAAGCACGUUAACGCCGACUGCCUGCGUAAAACCAUGAAACCUGGAUCGAAAUUGAGGUGGAAACGGCCUCGUGUCUCCACGGAGGGGGAUGGGGCCUUCAAGCAGUGCCUAACCGGCUCGGUGGGGACCAUCCGAAAAUGCCUCCGGCGGGAACAGAGGCGGGCACAGUUGACGAAACUCGCCAAAGUCCUGGGAAACAUCGGAAAGAAAGAGAAAAGGGAGUCCGUGUAUGAGGAAAGUCCCGCUGCGGCCUACACACACAGUCGACCAUCGGGGGCAAUGGCGCCGCCAAACACCACGCAGUACCUUAUGGGUAAUGUGUACGAAGAUAUGAAGACAAACAACAUCCAUGCAGCUUCACAUGAAACAUCUCCACAUCUGUUUAGUGAAUGUUUUUCACUCGGUGUGUGUGAUGCGCCGGGCUCUGAUUUUGAUAGCUGUCUUGCCUUUCAACAGAGGGACUUUGAGGAAAUGUUUGACCUGUGCUGUUAACCGGAAUGAACUGGUCUACGUGGCCUUGUGAAACUGGUCUGACCUCCUUUCCAGCUGUGACUUACCGAUAUGGGCAAAUCAAAAGCGGCGCACUGGAUGGUGCCCGCCCAGUAGGGAGUGUCCUGAGCCCUGAGUGGCGCCGCCCAGAGGAACGAAACAAACGCACCUCAGCUCUCGCCUGGCCACGGAUUGUGAAAUCCAGGUAAACCCGGGCAGGUAUUGUGUUGCACUGCAUUGUCAUUGAUGACAAGAGUAGUACAUUGUGAUGCGAUGUUGGGCCUGAAAGUGCUUUCCACAGUUACUGUUGUCUGAGCGUUUUCCAGGUCGCUUUCCUGCCGGGACACAUGGCUCUGCUGUGAGAGAGGAGCAGGUGAACAAGGAGCUCGGUCUUCACGUGACUGACAUAAGGUGACAUUUAAUGCCCAUUGGUUAUCUUGACUGUUUCCAAGAAGGUUAAAGUCCAGAAGAUGUCGAGUGUUAUAAUCCUGGUGACAUAAUUUACGUGUGAAAUUGUAUACAAACUGAGAUUAUAAAGUGAAAUGAUCCGGAGUUUAGAGAAUUAAAAAUGUUCAAUAAAUAAUUUAAUUAUAAGAAA